GACGAACCGAGCGAACGUUAUUCGGAAUCACUGGGCUUAAAGGGCGCGUAGGCGGGCGAUCAAGUCAGGGGUGAAAGCCUCCAGCUCAACUGGAGAAGUGCCUCUGAUACUGGUUGCCUCGAGGGAGGUAGGGGCGUGCGGAACUUCCGGUGGAGCGGUGAAAUGCGUAGAUAUCGGAAGGAACACCGGUGGCGAAAGCGGCGCGCUGGACCUCUUCUGACGCUGAGGCGCGAAAGCCAGGGGAGCAAACGGG
rnacentral:rRNA from 1 species